GACGAACGCUGGCGGCGUGCUUAACACAUGCAAGUCGAACGGAAAGGCCCUGCUUUUGUGGGGUGCUCGAGUGGCGAACGGGUGAGUAACACGUGAGUAACCUGCCCUUGACUUUGGGAUAACUUCAGGAAACUGGGGCUAAUACCGGAUAGGAGCUCCUGCUGCAUGGUGGGGGUUGGAAAGUUUCGGCGGUUGGGGAUGGACUCGCGGCUUAUCAGCUUGUUGGUGGGGUAGUGGCUUACCAAGGCUUUGACGGGUAGCCGGCCUGAGAGGGUGACCGGCCACAUUGGGACUGAGAUACGGCCCAGACUCCUACGGGAGGCAGCAGUGGGGAAUAUUGCACAAUGGGCGGAAGCCUGAUGCAGCAACGCCGCGUGCGGGAUGACGGCCUUCGGGUUGUAAACCGCUUUCGCCUGUGACGAGGCGUGAGUGACGGUAAUGGGUAAAGAAGCACCGGCUAACUACAUG
rnacentral:rRNA from 1 species